CUUCAGAUAAUACUAGAGAGAUAGUGAGGUUCAGCAGCUGCCAAUAGACAGAUAAUACUAGAGAGAUAGUUAGGUUCAGCAGCUGCCAAUAGACAGAUAAUACUAGAGAGAUAGUGAGGUUCAGCAGCUGCCAAUAGACAGAUAAUACUAGAGAGAUAGUGAGGUUCAGCAGCUGCCAAUAGACAGAUAAUACUAGAGAGAUAGUGAGGUUCAGCAGCUGCCAAUAGACAGAUAAUACUAGAGAGAUAGUGAGGUUCAGCAGCUGCCAAUAGACAGAUAAUACUAGAGAGAUAGUGAGGUUCAGCAGCUGCCAAUAGACAGAUAAUACUAGAGAGAUAGUUAGGUUCAGCAGCUGCCAAUAGACAGAUAAUACUAGAGAGAUAGUUAGGUUCAGCAGCUGCCAAUAGACAGAUAAUACUAGAGAGAUAGUUAGGUUCAGCAGCUGCCAAUAGACAGAUAAUACUAGAGAGAUAGUGAGGUUCAGCAGCUGCCAAUAGACAGAUAAUACUAGAGAGAUAGUUAGGUUCAGCAGCUGCCAAUAGACAGAUAAUACUAGAGAGAUAGUUAGGUUCAGCAGCUGCCAAUAGACAGAUAAUACUAGAGAGAUAGUGAGGUUCAGCAGCUGCCAAUAGACAGAUAAUACUAGAGAGAUAGUUAGGUUCAGCAGCUGCCAAUAGACAGAUAAUACUAGAGAGAUAGUUAGGUUCAGCAGCUGCCAAUAGACAGAUAAUACUAGAGAGAUAGUGA